UUUCUUUCUUUCUUUUUUUUCUUUCUUUCUUUAUUUCUUUCUCAUAACCCGAUGCUCAUGGGACAGACAGAGCUGCUGUGGUUGUACCCUUUGGACAACUGUGGAACCAUCUAACUCUCUGAACCUCAGAACCUGUGAACUCUCCAAACCUCGGCUCACCCCUUCUCCAGCAGCGAAUCCCUUCACCACUUCCCAUGCUCACCUCCACACCUCUCAUUACCACCUCAAGUGUGAAGACUCAAGAUCACAGCUUUUCUGCGUUGAGUUCAAAUCCCUCCACAAGCUGGUCUUUGUCGACUUCUCUCACUCAGAGAAUUCUCUUCUGUUUUGUGGUCUCAUCUCUAGCAGUGAGAAAAAAAAAGCUAACCAUCAUUACCCCAAACUCCGGGACUUCCCAAGUUCAGUUUCCUCUGUCUCCCCCUCUGGAUUAGCUUUUCUCCAACACUUGGUGGUUCAGGUUGUGUUCUUUGGGAGUUAUGAGGUUUUUCUGUCACACUCUCUGAUAGAUCUCUUUAGUGUCAGCUUGGAAAUAGACAUUUAGUGGGCUGCCAUGGUUUUCUUCACAGAAGCUAGAUGUUGGAAAUGGCUGCUCACAUUUUCCUCUAGAAGUACCAGUCUAUGAGGAUUCCAUGCUUUAGAUGGAACUCAGGCUCCCACACCCUCUGCAUCCACCUGGAACCACAUGAGGAGGCAAGGCCAUAUGCAUAGAUGGUGGAGCAUUGAGCAAUUCCUGUUGGCAAGGCAGUGAGUCACUUUGCUGGUUGUCACAGAGCUGCCUGUCCUCUGGAUCUAGGUCACACCCAGGAGCGCGGACUUCUGCUGACAACUUUGAUUUUGUUGUCAGGACUCCUGUGAUGGUUCGGCUGUGAUUUCAGUCUUUAAUCCUAUGUCUUCCACGGAUCUCACACGGUUUCUGGUAGAGGAUAUAGCCUUUUUAUGUGCAUCAUGAUUACGUUUUACUUAUUUAUAUGUCAUUUUUGGCUUUUUGAGUCUGGAGCAAAAAUGGGAAGCGCGGCCUAUUUCAGACUACCAUCUUAAACAAGUGAAUGAAACUAUCAAAGUUUUAGUUAUCCCACCAUUUGCAUUCCCCUCUUAACAAAUUGCACUAUUGAAACAACAUGUGCCUUUGGGUCGACUCCAGACUGAUCCUGUAUCUUCUACCAAAGGAAGACAAAACGAAAGCACAGUCUCUCAUUUACACAGGGAUUCUCCCCCUUGGAAACACCAAUGGUGGAGCAAGCUCACCAUGCACUCGCAAACAACUCGCAUGACUUUGGUGCAACAGAACACAAGGCACACACAAGUAACAUGAGGCAUGAAGGGACAGCAGAAGCCUAGAAUUUAGUGCCAGCGAUGCACCCUGUCCCCAUGCCCCAAGGCUCAGGAAAGCUGCCAGGUGGAUGGAGCCUCAUCUGCCUGUGUCUCAUACUACAGUUGAGAGACCCUGGAAACAGCCCGCCUGGGUUACAUACCUUGCCGUCACAUGGCCCACUGGGCUAACAUUGAAGCUCACCCUGUAUUGGGGGGAAAUGGAACAAAACUUAGGCUGGUUCAGCCAGUUCCUCUCUUAUCUCAGGGUGUCACAUUCCCAGUAACUUCUAGUUAUUCUUGAGAACUACAAGCAAUAAAAGGGGGCAAAAAUAGGUUAAUCUAAGGCCA
rnacentral:lncRNA from 1 species